rnacentral:lncRNA from 1 species
ACGCAAAAUGUCCAACCAAACUGUACCUUCAUCCACGAGAGGAUGUAGAAACUCAUUCACAAGUUCAGAAGCAUACAUACAUAUAAACGAAUAACCCCUGCUAGAUAACAGGGUGAACAGCUUUAACUGAACAACUUUGUUUAUUACGUCUUAUUAGACACCAUACUAGUUUUCUUAUUUUAUUUAGAUUUAGCCUAGACCUAAGCCUUGCCUUAAGUUUUGACCA